rnacentral:rRNA from 1 species
UAUUGGGUAGGGGAGCGUUCUGUAAGCGGUUGAAGGUGUGUGGUAACGCAUGCUGGACGUAUCAGAAGUGCGAAUGCUGACAUGAGUAACGAUAAAGGGGGUGAAAAACCUCCUCGCCGGAAGACCAAGGGUUCCUGUCCAACGUUAAUCGGGGCAGGGUAAGUCGACCCCUAAGGCGAGGCCGAAAGGCGUAGUCGAUGGGAAACGGGUUAAUAUUCCCGUACUUCUUACAAUUGCGAUGGGGGG